rnacentral:rRNA from 1 species
AGAGUUGAUCCUAGCUUAGGAUGAACGCUGGCGGCGCGCCUAACACAUGCAAGUCGAACGAUUAAGACACCUUCGGGUGUGAAUAAAGUGGCGAACGGCUGAGUAACACGUGGGCAACCUACCCCUCUCUCUGGGAUUAGCCUCGAGAAAUCGUGGGUAAUACCGGAUACUCCGGAUCCAUCGCAUGGUGGAUCCGGGAAAGCUCCGACGGUGAGGGAUGGGCCCGCGGCCUGUUAGCUUGUUGGUGGGGUAACGGCCUACCAAGGCAAUUAUGGGUAGCUGGGUUGAGAGACCGACCAGCCAGAUUGGGACUGAGACACGGCCCAGACUCCUACGGGAGGCAGCAGUGGGGAAUCUUGCACAAUGGGCGAAAGCCUGAUGCAGCCGACGCCGCGUGCGGGAUGAAGGCCUUCGGGUUGUAAACCGCUUUCAGCAGGGACGAGGCGCAAGUGACGGUACCUGCAGAAGAAGCCCCGGCUAACUACGUGCCAGCAGCUGC